UACGUAGGGUGCGAGCGUUGUCCGGAAUUAUUGGGCGUAAAGGGCGCGUAGGCGGCGGGGUAAGUCAGGUGUGAAAUUUCGGAGCUUAACUCCGAAACUGCAUUUGAUACUGCCUUGCUUGAGGACUGGAGAGGAGACUGGAAUUCACGGUGUAGCAGUGAAAUGCGUAGAGAUCGUGAGGAAGACCAGUGGCGAAGGCGGGUCUCUGGACAGUUCCUGACACUGAGGCACGAAGGCCAGGGGAGCAAACGGG
rnacentral:rRNA from 1 species